UGCAGUCGAGCGGUAGCACAGAGAGCUUGUCUCUCGGGUGACGAGCGGCGGACGGGUGAGUAAUGUCUGGGAAACUGCCUGAUGGAGGGGGAUAACUACUGGAAACGGUAGCUAAUACCGCAUAAUGUCGCAAGACCAAAGUGGGGGACCUUCGGGCCUCAUGCCAUCAGAUGUGCCCAGAUGGGAUUAGCUAGUAGGUGGGGUAACGGCUCACCUAGGCGACGAUCCCUAGCUGGUCUGAGAGGAUGACCAGCCACACUGGAACUGAGACACGGUCCAGACUCCUACGGGAGGCAGCAGUGGGGAAUAUUGCACAAUGGGCGCAAGCCUGAUGCAGCCAUGCCGCGUGUGUGAAGAAGGCCUUCGGGUUGUAAAGCACUUUCAGCGGGGAGGAAGGCGAUAAGGUUAAUAACCUUGUCGAUUGACGUUACCCGCAGAAGAAGCACCGGCUAACUCCGUGCCAGCAGCCGCGGUAAUACGGAGGGUGCAAGCGUUAAUCGGAAUUACUGGGCGUAAAGCGCACGCAGGCGGUCUGUCAAGUCGGAUGUGAAAUCCCCGGGCUCAACCUGGGAACUGCAUUCGAAACUGGCAGGCUAGAGUCUUGUAGAGGGGGGUAGAAUUCCAGGUGUAGCGGUGAAAUGCGUAGAGAUCUGGAGGAAUACCGGUGGCGAAGGCGGCUCCCUGGACAAAGACUGACGCUCAGGUGCGAAAGCGU
rnacentral:rRNA from 1 species